AGGAGAAUUAGUCAACCAGCAGGUCAUUCUGUCUGGUGCUGCCUUGCCUCCUGCAGAAAGGAAAUGCAACUUCCACAGAUCCAUCCCCACCAAAUGCCUAGUGGCAAUCAGGAAUUUGCCUGCAAAGGACAAACUGUAUCACAGAGCUGCCUCUUAAUAAGAAGCCCAGAAGCCACCAUGGAAGAUCUGCAACCAUGGAAUUUACUACAAAGCUUUUGAGGUUUAGAUUGCCUGAUGAGAGCAUGAAACAAGUCAGACUAGAAUGCUGAAUCUUAAUAAAACUGGACUUCUUAACCACUUGCUGUGUUAUCCACCAUUGCUGGAGUGAUGAACCUGCGUGAGAACACAGGAAUCAUUUUACACUUUGUAGAUGCUUUUCAAAGACUUAUGUUCCAAGUGCACAAUAGAAAUAUGUGAUACUUUGUGUAUUUCCCAAAAAAUGCAAAAUGAUGAUAAUUUCAGCAUGAGGAACAUUGCCUGCCCUAAUCUUCAGGCUAAAGCAGAUGUGUUUGAGAAAAUGUCUUACUAAGAUGACAAAAGAAGGUAAAGGGUGCUGAAGAAGAAUUUUGCUUGCCUUUGCUCUUUGACAACCUGGUCGGGGGAGUUCAAGCAGGGGUCAGCCCUUGUGGUGCCUCUCAAGUGCUGCUAGAUGGGAAGUCAUCCGAAGGUGCUGCAUUCUUCUCCACUCACGGGAACCAGCCCUUUGUUAAAUUAAUGCUUUAUAUUCACUUAUAUUCAGCACUUUUAAGACUUCUGCCUUAUUCAGAAAUGUCUCUUGAACCUAUGUGUUUAUUUACUGGUUUUUACAAGCGCUGUCAAACCUUGCUAUUGCAGUUUAUGUUUUUAACUCCAGGUUUUCAUUCUCUCCCAAGAGCUUUCUACCUCCCAGCAAUGUUUGCGGGAGAAAAAAAAUGUUUUACCUGAAAUAAUCUGUGGUUUGGAGUUUCUCCUGACUCUCUUGUAAUUCUGCUUAUCUGAGGCAGAGUAGGAGGAUGCUAAUUUCUACAGCACAAUUUGCUAGAACUAUCUGUUAAUCCCAACAUAUCAGAAACUUUGUACAGGAUAAAAAAUAUUUCUGUGGUCUGUUUCACAUCUAACAGUCAGGCUGAAGUCUUUAUUGAGUGUUGUACUAGUCUUUCUUGUGAAGACCCCUGGAUGCUAUUUCAAAAUACAUAAACCAGCCUACAUCCAAACUGUGCCAACCUAUAUUUUAUGUAGGAUGAUCUUUUGGCCAUAUCUGGUAACUGAGGCAAUAUUCAGGAUCUUUGUCAUCAGCAAGCACAUCGUUUGUCAGUGCUCCUUUAAUGGUGUAAGCCUUGCAAGGUACAACUUCCCCAGCUGGGCUGGGGGCAUGGAGGGGAAGGGAGAACAUCCUUCCAGAAAUCACUUUUCAAUUGCUGGAGUCUCCAAACACAGUUUAUCUCUCAUUGGUGCCACCCUGAGUUGUAGAGAUAUCUUUUUGUCCCCUUAGAUCUCUAUGGCUGUUAAAACACCAGCUUUGUUAGUCUAUUUCCUUUA